UACGUAGGGUGCAAGCGUUAAUCGGAAUUACUGGGCGUAAAGCGUGCGCAGGCGGUUAUGUAAGACUGUUGUGAAAUCCCCGGGCUCAACCUGGGAACUGCAUCUGUGACUGCAUAGCUAGAGUACGGUAGAGGGGGAUGGAAUUCCGCGUGUAGCAGUGAAAUGCGUAGAUAUGCGGAGGAACACCGAUGGCGAAGGCAAUCCCCUGGACCUGUACUGACGCUCAUGCACGAAAGCGUGGGGAGCAAACAGG
rnacentral:rRNA from 1 species